rnacentral:rRNA from 1 species
GUCUACGGCCAUACCACCCUGAACGCGCCCGAUCUCGUCUGAUCUCGGAAGCUAAGCAGGGUCGGACCUGGUUAGUACUUGGAUGGGAGAUUUGGAAGGAAGGCUCCAGGAUCUUGAAGACA